CUUCCGUAGGUGAACCUGCGGAAGGAUCAUUAAGAAA
rnacentral:rRNA from 1 species